rnacentral:lncRNA from 1 species
GUUUGCUGGACACACGUGUGUAUUUCUGUCUACAUAUCAUUUGUAUCUCAGGAAAAAUGUCCGAAUAAACACACCUAUGCGCGUGUGCUCGGAAGAAAUUUUGUUUAACGGUGUGGUUCAUUCCACCCAACAUCAGGAGACUUUCAAAACAUGCGUUGAACUUUCUGCUGCAUUCUUCCCAAUAUAAAAUCCAAUCUACUGAGGAGCCGAACUUACUGCAGAAAAAAUCCAAGGAUCCACAGCGAAACCGAUCACUUUCUCCUGGAGCGGGGCUUAGGUUGUCAUUUUAGCGAAAAAAAUGAAACCAAGUCACUCGCGAUAGGAGCGGCGCGGGAAGCACUUGACGGACUCGAAAGCUCAGGCACGGGCGGGCCGCGAGGCAUUCCGACCGAAAGCGCGGGGGGGGGGCGGCUUAUGGAUUCCGAGGGGCCGCGCACUCUGGUCGCUGGAGCCACACCCGACCUCGACGGCGCGGAGGCUAGAACUGGUGGAGCCCGGGCCGCGUCGGAUCGCCGCACCGUCGAUCUGGUGGUGCUGGGGAUGGUGCUGGUUGGGGGCGCCGCGGGGGUCCUCGCUGUAGCCGGCGAAGGCCGCGCUGGCCGAGGCCGAGUGCUGCAGGUUCAUGUUCAUGAGUGACGUCACUUCGGCCGAGCCGUCGAUAAGUCAAAUGACGUCGCCAAAUGACCACGCGUUCGUUUUCUCGCUUUCGAAUUCGUCGAGUCGGAGUUAGUGUCGCCGAGAAUCAGUCCGCGCUCCUGUCACCAUUGUCGAUCGUUUCGUUCUGUCCGUGCGCCUUUCUUACUCGUACCUGAGGAAACGCAAAACAUAGUGCAUUAGGCGGAAGAAGGCACUAAGCGGUGACAUUAAAACAUGACGACGGUAAACUACCAAACCACGUAUCUCGGUUUGCGACGUUGCAGACUUCCUGUCAUACUUUAUUUUUUAAAUGAAAAACUACUUAACGUCUAGUCUUGAAAAUUUCUGUGAUUUUUCCUCUUCGUGCGGAGAAAAUUCUGUGAAAGUUUCAAGGAAUGAUAUUGAUUUGGUCUACUUCAAAAAAU